rnacentral:misc_RNA from 1 species
GAACAUCUAAAAAAGCUACCGAUGAAGUAUUUACCAAAAUCACCAGCUAUUUACAAAAUACAAAACACACCAAGUUCAAAAUCCUAGCCUGUGAAAGGACAUUAAUACCCUCCAACACUCACUAAAUUUACCAAAACUGGAUGUUCUCUGUCUUCACUAACCCCAUAGCUACCGGCGAUUGGAGAAAAUAGAAGACAGAGAGUGAGCUAAACCCAAAACUAUAGUAAUCUUCACUUGCCCUCUUUUUGGAAUCGGUCUUCCAUAUUCCUCUCUUCUUGACAUAUUUACUCCAUUUAUCAUCUCUUUUCUUACUCCGGCCAUCUUUAAAUUUCUACAGUGAGCUUUAAUUACUGUAAAUGAACUCCGGUGAUGGAUCUGUU